UAGGGAAUCUUCCGCAAUGGACGCAAGUCUGACGGAGCAACGCCGCGUGAGUGAAGAAGGAUUUCGGUUCGUAAAACUCUGUUGUUAGAGAAGAACAGCGCAUAGAGUAACUGUUAUGCGUGUGACGGUAUCUAACCAGAAAGCCACGGCUAACUACGUGCCAGCAUCCGCGGUAAUACGUAGGUGUCAAGCGUUGUCCGGAUUUAUUGGGCGUAAAGCGAGCGCAGGCGGUCAAUUAAGUCUGAUGUGAAAGCCCCCGGCUCAACCGGGGAGGGUCAUUGGAAACUGGUUGACUUGAGUGCAGAAGGGGAGAGUGGAAUUCCAUGUGUAGCGGUGAAAUGCGUAGAUAUAUGGAGGAACAACGGUGGCGAAAGCGGCUCUCUGGUCUGUAACUGACGCUGAGGCUCGAAAGCGUGGGGAGCGAACAGG
rnacentral:rRNA from 1 species